GACGAACGCUGGCGGCGUGCUUAACACAUGCAAGUCGAGCGGUAAGGCCCGUUUCGGGGGUACACGAGCGGCGAACGGGUGAGUAACACGUGGGUGACCUGCCCUCAGCUCUGGGAUAAGCCUGGGAAACCGGGUCUAAUACCGGAUAUGACUCCAUGACGCAUGUUGUGGGGUGGAAAGCCUUGUGCGGCUGAGGAUGGGCCCGCGGCCUAUCAGCUUGUUGGUGGGGNGAUGGCCUACCAAGGCGACGACGGGUAGCCGGCCUGAGAGGGCGACCGGCCACACUGGACUGAGACACGGCCCAGACUCCUACGGGAGGCAGCAGUGGGGAAUCUUGCGCAAUGGGCGAAAGCCUGACGCAGCGACGCCGCGUGA
rnacentral:rRNA from 1 species